UCUCCUACACGGUCUCCCCCAUAUCUCCAUCUUCCUUGAAAAUCUCCAACCAAAAAUCCAUUCUCCUUUAUAUAUAUAUCUCCACAACGCAAUUUCAUCUUUUAUCAAUCUGCCGUUAUCUUCUUCCUCCUAUCAAAAAGUAUGAAAGAGUAGAAACGAGAGAGAGCCGUGAAUUCAAUUUUCCUGUUGUUCUCUUCAUUCCAAAGUUUGAAACCAAUGGAGAGUUGUGAUCUCAAUUUCCCCUGUUUGCUAGUAAACUUUGUCUUCCCUGAGGGUGAGCUUGUGCAUGUUGGUUGCGGUUGGAAAAGGAAGUGAUUGAGGAGUAAGCUUGUGAGAUUGAGCGACGACGGGCGUGGAGGAUGUUGAGCAGAAUUCAUGGAUUAUUUAUGUCUGGCUUAGUAUUGUUGGAUAUGUCGUGUCUUCAUACUCGGCAUUUUUCCGUGUCUUGAACGCUUCCGCAAAGUGUCUUUUCUUUAGAAUUGUUUUAGUAUUGAGAUUCUAACUCUUUUCAAAAUUGUUUACUUUCUAGUCUUUAUUUCUUUAGAGUGGGUACUUUGUUGAAAUGAUACUGUGUUGUUUUCUAAGUUA